GGUUUCGAUCAUACCAGCACUAAUGCACCGGAUCCCAUCAGAACUCCGCAGUUAAGCGUGCUUGGGCUAGAGUAGUACUAGGAUGGGUGACCCCCUGGGAAGUCCUCGUGUUGCAACCC
rnacentral:rRNA from 1 species